UGUGAAGCCAUCCUCUCUUGCUAACACUUGUGCCAAGGGGAACCAUAUCUACCUUCUGAACGAACUCUCCUGAGUGAUGCUGACCCUGGAUCGGCAUUGCAGGCUGCUUCAGGAUGGUGAGGUAGAGCAGAAGGCUCACACUGACCCAGCCAUGCAUGCUUGGUCACUGAGUUCAUAGGAACAGCCACACGGGAGCUCCCUGCCGGCUGUGGAGAGGACGCCUACCUCUGCAAAUUUCUUCUCUCUAAAUCCCUGUGACUGCUCUGGGGACUCGGAGAGCUGUAUUCCACUGUAUUGUUGCCGCAGAGAAAGUGUGGAAGAACAUUCUGGAAGCUUUU
rnacentral:lncRNA from 1 species